rnacentral:rRNA from 1 species
UUUCCAGACUCCUACGGGAGGCAGCAGUGGGGAAUAUUGCGCAAUGGGCGAAAGCCUGACGCAGCGACGCCGCGUGAGGGAUGAAGGUCUUCGGAUCGUAAACCUCUGUCAGCAGGGAAGAACGGUCACUGUGCUAAUCAGCAGUGAAUUGACGGUACCUGCAAAGGAAGCACCGGCUAACUCCGUGCCAGCAGCCGCGGUAAUACGGAGGAUGCGAGCGCUAUCCGGAUUUAUUGGGUUUAAAGGGUGCGUAGGCGGCAUUAUAAGUUAGUGGUAAAAUAUUGGGGCUUCACCUCACUACGCCAUUAAUACUGUAGAGCUAGAGAACAGACGAGGUAGGCGGAAUAAGUUAAGUAGCGGUGAAAUGCAUAGAUAUCACGCAGAACCCCGAUUGCGAAGGCAGCAUACCGGUGCACAACUGACGCUCAGGCACGAAAGCGUGGGUAUCGAACAGGAUUAGAUACCCUCGUA